rnacentral:lncRNA from 1 species
CUCAAAGUUGUUUGGGAGCAUAUGCUCCUAUCAACUUUACCCGGGACACACAAAAGAAGUACUUUGAUCCUAUUAGACGGAGGAGGGUGAAGAAGCUAGGACAGAAGGGUAGAGUUCAAGAGAGCAAAAUGCGUUUAGGAACGUGGAAUAUAGGAACCUUAACGGGAAAAUCUAUGGAAGUAGUGGAAGUUAUGGUGAGGAGAAGGAUAAAUAUUAUGUGCCUACAAGAAACUAAGUGGGUUGGUAGUAAGGCAAAGGAUCUAGAAAACUCAGGGUUUAAACUUUGGUAUUCGGGCACAAAUAGAACGAGAAACGGUGUUGGCAUCAUCGUGGACAAGACCUUGGUACAAGAUGUUGUAGAUGUCAAGAGGGUAGGAGAUAGAAUCAUGGCAAUCAAGAUUGUAAUAGGACAAGAACUUAUCAAUGUGAUUAGUGCGUACGCACCUCAAGUAGGGUUGGAUACGAGUUCGAAGGAGAAAUUUUGGGAAGAUCUUGGAGACUUGGUGCAAGGAAUUGCUCAGACGGAGAAGUUAUUUAUAGGAGGAGAUUUAAAUGGACACGUGGGUAGGGAGACAGGCAACUAUGGAGGUUUUCAUGGUGGCCAUGGUUUUGGGGAGAGAAACGAGGAUGGGGAAGCUAUCUUGGAUUUUGCAAUGGCAUAUGAUCUCUUCUUAGCCAACACCUUCUUUAAGAAGAGAGAAGAACAUGUAAUCACCUACAAGAGUGGGUCGUCAAAAAACACAAAUAGAUUUUCUUCUAAUGAGGAAAGGGGAUCGUAUAACUUGUAAGGAUUGCAAAGUUAUACCAGGAGAGAGCGUGGCUAAUCAACAUCGCUUGUUGGUGAUGGAUGUACAUAUCAAAAGAGUAAGACAAAAGAACAAGACUUGGAAGUGCCCAAGGACUAGAUGGUGGAAUCUAAAAGAAGAAAAACAAGCCAUUUUCAAAGAGAAGGUAAUCACCCAAUGUGUGUGGGAUAGAGAGGGGGAAGCUAGCCAAAUGUGGGAUUCCAUGGCUAGUUGUAUCCGAAAAGUAGCAAAAGAGGUAUUAGGAGAGUCCAAGGGCUUUGCCCCACACCAAAAGGAAUCUUGGUGGUGGAAUGAGGAGGUACAAACAAAGGUGAAGGCUAAGAAGGAAUGUUGUAAAGCCUUAUACAAGGAGAGGACCGAUGAAAAUGGUGAAAGGUAUAGAAAAGCGAAGCAAGAGGCGAAGAAAGCUGUCAGAGAAGCUAAGUUAGCGGCUUACGACGAUAUGUAUAAACGACUAGAUACCAAAGAAGGGAGAGUUGGAUAUCUAUAAACUAUCUAGAGCAAGGGAAAAGAAGACAAGGGACCUAAACCAAGUGAGGUGCAUCAAGGAUGAGGAUGGAAAGGUUCUUGCUACAGAGAACGCGGUUAAAGACAGAUGGAGAGGUUAUUUUCAUAAUCUUUUCAAUGAAGGACAUGAAAUGAGUGCUUCUUUAGGGGAGUUGAGUAACUCAGAAGAGUGUAGAAACUACUCUUUUUAUCGUCGAAUCCGGAAGGAAGAAGUGGUUGUAGCUUUGAAGAAGAUGAAGCAUAAAAAAAGCAAUAGGCCCAGACGAUAUACCAAUCGAAGUGUGGAAACUUUUGGGAGAGACAGGUAUAACAUGGCUCACUGACCUUUUCAAUAGGAUUUUGAAAACGAAGAAGAUGCCAAAUGAGUGGCGAACGAGCACUUUGGUGCCUAUCUACAAGAAUAAGGGCGACGUACAAAAUUGCAUGAACUAUAGGGGUAUUAAGCUAAUGAGUCAUACAAUGAAGCUCUGGGAGAGAGUCAUUGAGCAUAGAUUGAGACAAGAGACACGGGUUUCGGACAACCAAUUCGGGUUCAUGCCAGGGCGCUCAACCAUGGAGGCAAUCUAUCUCUUACGAAGAUUGAUGGAAAGAUAUAGAGAUGGGAAAAAGGAUUUACACAUGGUCUUUAUAGAUUUGGAAAAAGCGUAUGAUAGGGUCCCAAGAGACAUUCUUUGGAGGAUUUUAGAGAAGAAAGGAGUACGAGUAGCAUAUAUCCAAGCUAUAAAGGAUAUGUAUGAAGGAGCAAAGACUGCCGUAAGAACUCAUGAAGGACAAACCGAAAGCUUUCCCAUAACUGUAGGAUUACAUCAAGGCUCAUCCUUAAGUCCUUACCUUUUUGCGUUGGUAAUGGAUGAGUUAACAGGACAUAUUCAAGAUGAUAUUCCUUGGUGUAUGCUUUUUGCAGACGAUAUAGUGUUGAUAGAUGAAACUCGGGAAGGGGUAAAUGCAAAGCUUAACCUUUGGAGAGAAGUGUUGGAAUCUAAAGGUCUUCGCCUAAGCCGAUCAAAGACAGAAUAUAUGGAGUGCAAGUUCAGUGCAAAUGGAGGCCAAAACGAGUUAGGGGUGAGGAUCGGAGAUCAAGAAAUACCAAAGAGCGACCGUUUUCGUUACCUAGGAUCUAUCUUGCAAAAGAACGGAGAAUUAGAUGGAGAUCUCAACCAUAGAAUACAAGCUGGAUGGAUGAAGUGGAAGAGUGCAUCCGGCGUGUUAUGUGACCGCCGUAUGCCACUGAAGCUCAAGGGAAAAUUUUAUAGGACGGCAAUAAGGCCGGCGAUGCUGUAUGGCACAGAAUGUUGGGCGGUGAAACAUCAGCACGUACACAAAAUGGGUGUAGCGGAGAUGAGGAUGCUUCGUUGGAUGUGUGGGCACACGAGAAAGGAUAAGAUUAGGAAUGAGGAUAUCCGGGGUAAAGUAGGAGUAGUCGAAAUUGAAGGAAAGAUGAGAGAAAAUCGGUUACGGUGGUUUGGACAUGUGCAAAGAAGGCCUACUGACGCUCCGAUUAGAAGAUGCGACUAUGGGACAGAGGUUCAGGGCCGAAGGGGUAGAGGAAGACCUAGGAAAACUUUGGAAGAGACUCUAAGAAAAGACUUAGAGUACUUGGAUCUAACGAAGGACAUGACACAGGAUCGAGCACAAUGGCGUUCUAAGAUUCAUAUAGCCGAUCCCACCCAGUGACUUGGAUUUUCCAAGUCUCCAACCGAGAAGUUUUCCUCACUCGGAAAAUUAAGGGAACACUACCCCAACCUACAUGCUCCACUCAGAAAGCUUCAACAUACAAGCUUCAACAAAAGAAAAUUCAAAGAACUUAGCGAAUAAGGCUUUGGUGUAUUUAACACAAUACGUUGAAAUGAAGGAAAGCUUAUUUAUUGAUAUCCCCGAUAAGCUACAAAUAUGUACAUAUACAUGAGUCAAAAUAAACACAAAAGAGGGAGCCUUCACAAAGGUUGCUUAGGAGAAGUCUCAGCAAUCGGUAGAGCCCCAGAAAGAGAAGGCACCGGAGGGGGAUCAUUUGGAGCCUCAGUACUGGACAGAACCCUAGAAGGAGAGGCAUCAGAGGUUGAUCAUUUGGAGCUUCAUUACGCGGUACAGCCCCAGAAGACGAAGGCAAUAAAUGCCUUUGGAACAAACCCACAAAUCUCUGAUGAUCAAGUAAAACCUGACCAUCAGUUUCCUUCAUCUGGUCAAGCUUCCUCUUCAUGUUUGUAGCAUAGUCAUGUGCGAGCCGGUGCAACUGUUUAUUCUCAUGCUUGAGCCCUCUAAUCUCCUGUUUAAGACUCAUCACUUCAGCCGCCAAUGAUUCAACUUGGCGGGUUCGAGCAAAUAGGCGUUGGGCCAUAUUAGACACAGAACCUGCACACUGAACACUGAGAGCCAGCGAAUCCUUAACAGCUAACUCAUCAGACCGUUUGGAAAGUAGUCUAAUAUCUUUGGGAGUGAGAAGGUUCCUGGCCACCACCGCAGCGGUCAUAUCAUUCUUCAUCACGGAAUCCCCAACGGUAAGAGGACCAGUAGGGGAGACGAAGGAUGGGCGCCAUAUGUUGUCUGGAGAAGGCGGGGCUGCCUCUUCAACAAGGUUCAAGUCAAAACGACGGUCGGAGGGGCCAGACAUUUUCAAAGGUGUUGAAGAGAGAAGAGGUCGGACAAAUCAAGAUCUUAGAAGUGCAAGAAUGAAGCUUCUACUGGUGGAGAUUCAAGUGUGCUUUGGAACUUAAUGCCAGCCCCUAUAAAAAAUCUGCACUCGACGGAGCUUUCAGAAAUCGAAGAGGCGCCUGCUCAGAAAUCGAAGAGGCGUUUGCUUUCUCAAAAGCUGGGCUGCUUAGAGAUCACGAGGGUUGAUCUCAGAAAUCGAAGAGGCGUUUGCUUUCUCAAAAGUUGGGCUGCUCGCUCAAAGACCACAAAGGCCGAUCUCAGAAAUCGAAGAGGCGCUCGCUUUCUCAAAAGUUGGGCUCCCCAGAGACCACGAGGGCCGAUCUCAGAAAUCGAAGAGGCACCUACUUUUCCAGCCUUGUCAACACCUGUCACACGCACACUCAGCUUUGCGGAAAUUAUGGGCAUUCUAUCGAAGACUUCUGGGGAAGUAGAAAACACAUGAAUCUUACUGUUCAAUCACCCACUUGCCACACGCAACAAUAGCUCAUGGGUACCACAGAAAACUUUGCCAAAGUUCUCUGCCAAAGUUGAGCACGUGAAGCUUGCAGCUCCCACUACAUCGCUCUGACCAAGAAGGGUAAAAGAAUAGCAAAUAAAUAGCACUAACAAAGUUUAAACCCAUAAAUUUUGAAGGUCUAGCUACCAUAUUAUUACCCACAAGGGUAAAGGAACAGUACCACUGCUGGAUAAUUGGAAAGUCCCUGUGUGUCAACCUCUGUGCUUCGUGGCAAGGUAGACUAGCAAACAUGCCCAACCUUUACUCACAUUCGAGAAAACACUCCCAAUAAGAUUGCUUGCUCCAAAAUCGAAGAGGCACCGUCCUCCGAAUCUCGAGAGCCAGACUCCCAACAUGACUACUUUCUUAAAAAUCGAAGAGAAGCUUCGUGGCAAGGUAGACUAGCAAACAUGCCCAACCUUUACUCACAUUCGAGAAAACACUCCCAAUAAGAUUGCUUGCUCCAAAAUCGAAGAGGCACCGCCCUCCGAAUCUCGAGAGCCAGACUCCCAACAUGAUUACUUUCUCAAAAAUCGAAGAGACACUGCUCCCCGAAUCUUCGAGAGCCAGACCCCCAGCAUGAUUGCUUUCUCAAAAAUCGAUGAGGCAUCGUUCUCCGAAUCAAUCGAAGAGGCGCUCGCUUUCUCAAAAGCUGGGCUGCUCAGAGACCACGAGGGCCAAUCUCAGAAAUCGAAGAGGCACCUACUUUUCUAGCCUUGUCAGCACCUGACACACGCACACUCAGCUUUGCAGAAAUUAUGGGCAUUCUGUCGAAGACUUCUGGUGAAGUAGAAAGCACAUGAAUCUUACUGUUCAAUCACCCACUUCCCACACGCAACAAUAGCUCAUGGGUACCACAUAUAACUUUGCCAAAGUUCUCUGCCAAAGUUGAGCACGUGAAGCUUGCAGCUCCUACUACAUCGCUCUGACCAAGAAAGGUAAAAGAAUAGCAAAGAAACAGCACUAACAAAGUUUAGACACAUAAAUUUUGAAGGUCUAGCUACCAUAUUAUUACCCACAAGGGUAAAGGAACAGUACCACUGCUGGAUAAUUGGAAAGUCCUUGUGUGUCAACCUCUGUGCUUCGUGGCAAGGUAGACUAGCAAACAUGCCCAACCUUUACUCACAUUCGAGAAAACACUCCCAACAAGAUUGCUUGCUCCAAAAUCGAAGAGGCACCGUCCUCCGAAUCUCGAGAGCCAGACUCCCAACAUGACUACUUUCUCAAAAUCGAAGAGAGGGUAAAGGAACAGUACCAUUGCUGGAUAAUUGGAAAGUCCCUGUGUGUCAACCUUUGUGCUUCGUGGCAAGGUAGACUAGCAAACAUGCCCAACCUUUACUCACAUUCGAGACAACACUCCCAACAAGAUUGCUUGCUCCAAAAUCGAAGAGGCACCGCCCUUCGAAUCUCGAGAGCCAGACUCCCAACAUGAUUACUUCCUCAAAAAUCGAAGAGACACUGCUCUCCGAAUCUCGAGAGUCAGACCCCCCAACAUGAUUGCUUUCUCAAAAAUCGAAGAGGCAUCGUUCUCCGAAUCUCGAGAGCCAGAUACCACAGACCACUUUUUCAAAGUGCUCUGACAGAGUUAAAACAUGUGAAACUGGCAGCUCCCACUACCGUGUUAUGACCAAGCAGGGUAAAGGAAUAGCAUUACUACUUGUUGUUAGGGAGACUCCUAUAUAUGUCGACCUCCAUCCCCAACGGACAGGCAGACCUGCAAAAAUGCUCAACCCUUCAUCAUAUCUGAGAGGGCACUCCCAACGAAGCCUUUCGAAAUAUUCAGCUUUCUUUCCCCCCGAUAAUACCUCUGCAAACAAGCUAUACUAGAGCAAGAAUAUCUCAUAUCAUCAGGGUUAAAAGCAAGAGUAUCCCAUAUCAUGCUUUUUCCCUGUCUUUUCCUUUGGCCUUGUUUUUACCUGCAAGACAAGGAGAAAGAGAGCAAUCAGUCAGCACUUGGAAUCAAGCUUCCAGCCAGGAACUGACUGCCUGGAACCCGUUACCUGAUUACUUACCUGGCAUUGCUCUCGAGUACUCAUCUUCAACAUCUUAUGUUUCCAGGGAAGAUUCCGCAUCUGCUUGAGGAACAGAUAGGGCAAGUGCGAAGGAUACAAGGAAGCAUGUGGAGACAAGCGUAACAGCACACGUGCCAAUACAUCCAUUACUCUGUCAAAAGCAAAAGUAUCCCAUAUCAGCAGGGUGGAACGUACUCUAGAUUUGAUGGACUUGUUUUGACCCUCAAAUUCUUCAGUCGGCCUUAUACUCUGGAGGAAACCAGAAAACCCUCCAGCUCAGUUCAAGAAUAAGCCUGUGGAAAGUUACUUCUUCAAAAGCAAAAGUAUCUCAUAUCAUCUCUUCUCAUUUUUCUUCUCUUUAUCCUUCAUGCUGUUGCAAGAUGGGGAGAAGGUGAACAAUCAGUCGGAGCUCUGAUUACUUACCUUGUCUGUCACCUCUUUCAGCAGACCCCCUAGCUCGGCGACUUGGGGGACUCCUACUACAUGGUUUGUAUCGCGCUUGACCAAGCCUGAAACUACAAGUAAGCUUCAAGUGAAAUUGAUACAUUACCUUGUGCAUCUCCACCAGUUAAAGAUACCACCCCUGGAUGGAGGAAGAGUACUUCCAGAGAAGAUGCCACAUCUAUCUAUGAGACAGAUAAGGCAAGUCAAGAUGACACCACACUCCGAUACUUAGAAGUUUCGUGAUUACGAGAUCAUUCUCCCACAAUAUUUCCUAAUGUCAUUUGUACUAAAUCAUUCACUUGUACUCACUAAAGGAGAGCUUGAACCUAUGUACUUGUGUAAACCCUUCACAAUUAAUGAGAACUCUUCUAUUCCGUGGACGUAGCCAAUCUGGGUGAACCACGUACAUCUUGUGUUUGCUUUCCUAUCUCUAUCCAUUUAUAUACUUAUCCACACUAAUGACCGGAGCAAUCUAGCGAAGAUCACAAAAAGCGACCGUUUUCGCUACCUAGGAUCUAUCUUGCAAGAGAACGGAGAAUUAGAUGGAGAUCUCAACCAUAGAAUACGAGCUGGAUGGAUGAAGUGUAAGAAUGCAUCCGGCGUGUUGUGUGACCGUCGUAGGCCACUGAAGCUCAAGGGAAAAUUUUAUAGGACGGCAAUAAGGCCAGCGAUGUUGUAUGGCACAGAAUGUUGGGCGGUGAAGCAUCAACACGUACACAAAAUGGGUGUAGCGGAGAUGAGGAUGCUUCGUGGGAUGUGUGGGCACACAAGAAAGGAUAAGAUUGGGAAUGAGGAUAUCCGAGGUAAAGUAGGAGUAGCCGAAAUUGUAGGAAAGAUGAGAGAAAAUCGGCUUCGGUGAUUUGGACAUGUGCAAAGAAGGCCGACUGACGCUCCGGUUCGAAGAUGUGACUACGGGACAGAGGUUCAGGGCCGAAGGGGUAGAGGAAGACCUAGGAAAACUUUGGAAGAGACUCUAAGAAAAGACUUAGAGUACUUGGAUCUAACGGAGGACAUGACACAAAACCGAGCGCAAUGGCGUUCUAGGAUUCAUAGCCGACCCCACUUAGUGGGAAAAGGCUUUGUUGUUGUUGUUGUUGUUGUUGUUGUUGUUGUUGUUGUGUGUUGAGUGUGAAUACCAUUUUGUACGCAAGAUUGUUGCAUGUUGAAGCCUAGAUUCUAUUAUGGACAGGGAAUUGUCUAAAUAUAUUGUAAAAUAUUUGACUGAAUUUAAGUUAAAUGAAAUGUAAGAACCGACUAAUAUUGGAUAUCAGUGACAGUGUGCAGGUAAGUGUUUGUUGAGGUAUGUGAAAACUUUUUGGAAUAGUCUUGAGGUUGAGGGUAAUGGAAGCUGUUCUUUGAUAGGCAUCAUAAGGGACACCUUCCCGGACUUGAACCUGGACCAAAUGCUAGUUAGGAAUUAGAUUAGGAAAGUGCAUAACUAAUCCGGUGUACUAGGAUCCGCACUGAGCUCAGUUUUUGGAUAAGGAAAGCAGUUUUGUUGCUCUUUUGUUGUACUACUAGUAAGAAUGGUUUGACAUGGUCCUUUCUUUGUGCAUGCAUAUCUUUGGUUUCCGCAAUGAUUUGUUAAUGAAAUGAUUAAGUUCAACUGAUGUGGUAGCUACUGAUGGCAUUUUGGGCGCUCAUUUCUUGUUGGAUAUUAUUUGUUUCUUGUAAUUCUAUAUUUUUCAUUAUCAGAUGCAAACUAGCGCUUUAGUCUGUUAAAGGAUUAUUUUUCUGGUUAAUGUUCAGUUAAAGUAUUAAAUCAUAUUUUUCUGUCUUUAUCUGCAGUCUCUUGAUAAACAAGGAGUAAGUUUCUGUACCCGGACCACACAUGAUGACAGUGCCAUCACAAAUGCUGUUGAAAUAUACGAUAGAUUGGGGUAUUUUAGCUAGUUCUGAAAAUCUGUUCAUCUGAAUUUUUUCUUUUAAUAAAACACAAUUUGAUAUAGAAACGCUUUUUCAGGGGUGGAAUGCAUUUCAUGGCAUCCAAUAAUGACUGCGGCAUAAGAGAAUAUGACAUGGAGAAGUUUCAGCUUUUGAAUCACUUUCGUCUCCCUUGGCCAGUGAAUGUGAGUCAUCCUAAGAACUUAAUUCAUAUUGAUGGUUUCUGUCAGAUAAACUUACCUGCCUUUUUCUACUUCUAUACUAAGAAUCUACAUAUUUGUCUUUACACUUUCACUUUCUGUGAUUUUCAUUGACUCCAACCUCCCUGGAUAUUAAUAUUAGAAGGCUAAGUUGUGCAUUGAAGAGUAUUAUUUCUGAUAUAUUUGGAAAUUGUUGAGAUGUCAACUAGGAAGUCAAGCUUUCAAAUCAGUUUUAUUUUGUUCAAUUGGUCAUGCUGAGGACAAGGACAAUUUUUAAAAUAAAAGGAAAUUGGUGACUGGUGUAGGUCACAGACUAAUUUCAUAUUUUGGUUUAGCUUGAUGGACAUAUCGUUUUCUUUUAUAGAUAAAUUGAAGCAAUAUUCCUUUUCAGCUAAUGACAUAGGAACAAUUUUCCUCUCCAACUUGCCAAAAUUCCUUUUCAUAUUUUGGUCGAUACCACUUGCCAAAAUUUUUCUUCGUUGACCCUCUCCUUAAAGCACAAAAUGUUGAUUGAGCCAAUCCUAGUAUUGAAAAUAUUUUGCAGACUUGAAACAAAUUACCUCUUUGAAAUAGAAGAGUGCAAUAUACUUAAGUGCUUGUAAAUUGGAAGUGAUCUGCAAUUGCUUAAACUGGAAUUAAUGUGUUGGUUUCUGUUGUUAUUCCUCCCCUAACUCUUUUACUUAACGUGGAGCUCACCUUGUUUGCAGCAUACAUCAAUAAGCCCAGAUCGUAGGCUUGUUGCCGUUGUUGGUGAUCAUGUAGAUGCAUUGCUCAUGGAUUCGCAGAAUGGGAAGGUACCAAGAUCUUUUUCCUGAUCAUGAUACUUUUGUCUGUAACUUAUUUUGUUGCAUUUCUUUCCAUAGAAAUAUUCUUGCUAAUAAGAUGAGGUAAACUGUGAAAAUUGAACGCGAGACAUGUAGACUUCGAGGAAAUGGUUAAUGGUGGUAAAAUACCAAUACAAGUGUCAUCUUUAAUACGAUAACAGAUUUUUGCUUACAUAGUUGUUUUUAUAAUUGUUCAGCAUAAAGAUAUCUACUUUUUAUUUAUCUUUUAAUAUACCUUAACUUUGUGUUAGCGGAGCAGUUGUGCUUCUAAAUUCCAAAUUUACCCCUAAAAGCAUUUUCCAGGUUUUAUUUUCAAAGAUGGGAACCGUUUACUAACCAUAUACAACUUUGUUUUUUUUUGUUUUUUUUUGUCAUUCCAGACUAUUGCUAAGGUCGUUGGUCAUCUGGAUUACUCUUUUGCGUCAGCAUGGCAUCCUGAUGGUUGCAAUUUGCCACUGGAAACCAGGACAAGACUUCCCGAGUCUGGGACAUAAGAAAUCUUUCAUUGCCAGUUGCCGUUCUGAAGAAUAGCUUGGGUGCUGCUAGGUCAAUUCGCUUUUCAUCAGAUGGUCAGUUCUUGGUGGUCGCGGAACCUGCAGAUUUUGUGCAUAUAUAUAGCACAAAGGCAUACUACAAAGUGCGGCAAGAGAUUGAUUUCUUUGGGGAGAUAUCCGGUGUAUCAAUGAGUCCCGAUGAUGAGUCUCUGUAUAUAGGAAUCUGGGACCGAACAUACGCCAGCUUGCUACAGUAUAACAGAAGGCACUAAGGGUGGAAACCCUCGUGUGGAUAGUUUUGCUUCAUCUCGCUCAUAAGAAACCACCAAGGGUGGAAACCCUGGUGUGGAUAGUGAGCCAGAUGGUAUUGUUGUACCCUUCAUAAUGUCCCCACAUAUGUGUAUUGUGGAGGGUGUAAAGAUUGUGAGUGUGAAAUAUGGAGCUUGUCUUUGCCUUUCUCGAUGCAAAGGAAUUUAACCCAUUACUUCUCUCAGAUCCAGCUUCCUCCCUCGGAUGAUCCAUUCUCUCAAUGAUUCAAUCGAUACCCUACUAUCUUUUGAACUCUUCUGGAUAAGAUAAGGGUGUUUUGGGUAGAAAAACGUGAUUCCGGAUGAAGGCUUUGUCCCGGAAUCCGAAUACUAGUUAUUGUUCGGUAGUCUGAUUCCGAGAAUAUUAGGAAUUGGAUUGCUGAUUUUGAGUGGACCCUGCAUAAAUUUUUAUUCCCCAAUGGAUAGUAGACACUGGAAUCCUUUCAGUCAUGAAUGAUUCUCUUUCAUUUCAUUUCCAACCCCUGUUGGUAAACACGCACAGAUGUUGUAUAGAGACUUUCAAAUGACAGAUGUAUUCCUGUUGGACCACAUAGCUUGGUGAGUAAAAUGAGUACUACCCAGACAGCAACUAAGUAUCAUCCGUGCAGAUGGGCCGAACUUUAUCUCCUUCCUCUCUCACACACACAGUACACACGCACGCACAGAGAAAAGAGAGACGGCGGAGCCGCGCAGAGAGAGAGAGAGAGAGUAGUGUUUCCCUUUCAUCUCUUACUUAUCUCCAGACUCUGCAAAUCAUAACAGCAAGUGGAUUAGCUAGCUGCCUGGAUUGCAAUCCCGACCCUCUGUUUUCCAGGCAAGUGUUUGUUCCUUCUUCUUACUCCCACUUUCUUUUUUUUCCAGUGUUUGGUUAUUAAUUUAUUAAUUUAUUGUUAUUAUUUCAAUUUUUUCAACCUCAAUUUGCUGUAAUUUUUUACCCUCUCUAAUAAAAUUUGUUUCGCCUGAUUUUUGUUUGCUUCAAACAAGAACGCUUACUGCAUUCGGGCCAUUCAUAUUUUUUGCUUAUUGCAGUUCAGCCAUCGACUUCGCCUAUGUAAUUUUACAUUGCCGGUCCCAAGCCCGGAUAAAGGAGGAGGGGGAGGGCGUCAGGUAGUCGACAGCCGGCACUCCAUGAUCACGUCGAAUCCUUAUGAAAAUGAAUCCAGAACAAAAUCGCGCUAAAGCUAGGGCGUCACCCGUAAGUGGUGCGCUGUGUGGCCCGAGCACAGUGAUAAGUGAGCAAGGGUCGCUGUAUCUCCAUCGGCACCCGGAUGCAGUGUUAAAUGAGCAAGGGGGCCGUAGAAACUUCUUUUCGAACGACUUCACUCAAAGUUGUUUGGGAGCAUAUGCUCCUAUCAACUUUACACGGGACACACAAAAGAAGUACUUUGAUCAUAUUAGACGGGGGAGGGUGAAGAAGCUAGGACAGAAGGGUAGAGUUCAAGAGAGCAAAAUGCGUUUAGGAACGUGGAAUAUAGGAACCUUAACGGGAAAAUCUAUGGAAGUAGUGGAAGUUAUGGUGAGGAGAAGGAUAAAUAUUAUGUGCCUACAAGAAACUAAGUGGGUUGGUAGUAAGGCAAAGGAUCUAGAAAACUCAGGGUUUAAAACUUUGGUAUUCGGGCACAAAUAGAACGAGAAACGGUGUUGGGCAUCAUCGUGGACAAGACCUUGACACAAGAUGUUGUAGAUGUCAAGAGGGUAGGAGAUAGAAUCAUGGCAAUCAAGAUUGUAAUAGGACAAGAACUUAUCAAUGUGAUUAGUGCGUACGCACCUCAAGUAGGAUUGGAUACGAGUUCGAAUGAGAAAUUUUGGGAAGACCUUGGAGACUUGGUGCAAGGAAUUGCUCAGACGGAGAAGUUAUUUAUAGGAGGAGAUUUAAAUGGACACAUGGGCAGGGAGACAGGCAACUAUGGAGGUUUUCAUGGUGGCCAUGGUUUUGGGGAGAGAAACGAGGAUAGGGAAGCUAUCUUGGAUUUUGCAAUGGCAUAUGAUCUCUUCUUAGCCAACACCUUCUUUAAGAAGAGAGAAGAACAUGUGAUCACCUACAAGAGUGGGUCGUCAAAAACACAAAUAGAUUUUCUUCUAAUGAGGAAAAGGGAUCGUAUAACUUGUAAGGAUUGCAAAGUUAUACCAGGAGAGAGCGUGGCUAAUCAACAUCGCUUGUUGGUGAUGGAUGUACAUAUCAAAAGAGUGAGACAAAAGAACAAGACUUGGAAGUGCCCAAGGACUAGAUGGUGGAAUCUAAAAGAAGAAAAACAAGUCAUUUUCAA